rnacentral:rRNA from 1 species
AACGAACGCUGGCGGCAGGCCUAACACAUGCAAGUCGAGCGCCCUUUCGGGGGAGCGGCGGACGGGUGAGUAACGCGUGGGAAUAUGCCCUUCUCUACGGAAUAGCCUCGGGAAACUGAGAGUAAUACCGUAUACGCCCUUUGGGGGAAAGAUUUAUCGGGGAAGGAUUAGCCCGCGUUGGAUUAGGUAGUUGGUGGGGUAAUGGCCUACCAAGCCGACGAUCCAUAGCUGGUUUGAGAGGAUGAUCAGCCACGCUGGGACUGAGACACGGCCCAGACUCCUACGGGAGGCAGCAGUGGGGAAUCUUAGACAAUGGAGGCAACCCUGAUCUAGCCAUGCCGCGUGAGUGAUGAAGGCCUUAGGGUUGUAAAGCUCUUUCAGCUGGGAAGAUAAUGACGGUACCAGCAGAAGAAGCCCCGGCUAACUCCGUG